rnacentral:rRNA from 1 species
GCCUUUUUGGCGGCGUUUAUUAGUUCUAAACCUCCCUUGGUUUUCGGUGAUUCAUAAUAAACUCGCGAAUCGCUUUUAGCGAUGGACCAUUCAAGUUUCUGACCCAUCAGCUUGACGGUAGGGUAUUGGCCUACCGAGGCAGA